rnacentral:tRNA from 1 species
GCCAGCAUGCUGUAGUGGUUUUAGUGUUGGACUAUGACUCUGGAGACCAGGGUUCAAGUCCCAGCUCAGCCA